rnacentral:lncRNA from 1 species
GAGCACAGAAAGGAGAGUCUAAGAUUAGAAUGGUUCUAUCCCUCCUCCCUCCUGCUAUCACUUUUAUUUUUCCAACACAGGACAUGCCAUCAAAAGAAGAAUGCAUUUCGCAUCUUGAAUUCCAUAAGUCGCCAGCUGGCAGAGACACUGGAAAUUCAAAGACUGUUCUUCAUACUUGUGGUAAGAUGAAUUCUGGAACUAAUGUUUCCUGUUGUGCUGCUUCUGAACACGACUGUAAGUCUGGAGGUGAAAGCUGACAAUGUCAUCUGGUGUGUUUCCCAACAGACAAAGGGUACCUCUGCUUGCCAAAGCCUAUUUGAAAAGAAUAGGCUUGCUAAAUCUAAGCACAGGAGAGGACCUCUCUCUUUGCCAGCAUGAAAGGUCAGAUGAAAUCCUCAUCUCUGCUUACCAGCAGGGGCCUCUCCUGCCUGGCCCUUCGUUCAUCUGUGUAGCUUGAGAUGCUUCUCAUUCUUGGUUUGCUUUAAAAAUAUUUUAUAGCACUUGAAAUUAAUUUCAUUUGAGAAGUUUAAGCUUCACAUUUUUUAGAGUUAUAUAAAGAAGAUCCCUGAAAAGCUUUCAAAGCCCGCAUUUAGUGUUUGUCCUUCCUGGCAGACACUGUCUGCUAGUACUUCUGCCUUGCCAAGACUGUCUCCCAUUUCCUCUCUUUCCUAAUGCUUUGGUAAACAUGGAUAAACAGUAGACUCAUAUAGGACAAUUCUCUGAGGGUACUAAACUCUUGCCAGUAGCACAGCAUGUCUUCAUCAGAACUAUUACACUUCUGAAUAGCAAAUGCCAAUACUUCCCUAUCCAGAGAAACAAUGACAACAGGAACUGAAAAGCAGAGUUUUGCCCAUGUUUGUUAAAUCAUUCACUCACCUUUUCUGAAAUAUUUAAAUGAGUUGAUGGCCAACCAUAAAUUGUUGCAAUAUUACGGAAUUAGGAAAAAAAAAAAAAGUGUCUGCAUGGGUAGAAAAAAAAAAAUACAAACUUUAAUUGCUAUCAAUAGAAUUAUAUUUAAUUGAAAAUCUGUGUAGACAUCUUCUUGACCUGAAGACUUUUGCCUCCAGUCCCUAUUAUUUGGAAAUGUUUUGUUCUUCAAGCUUUUUAUAGUCUUCCUUUCCUGAGGGUUUUGAUUAAUGCCUUUUUGAAAGGUAUUUCUGCAAUGAUUCAGUCACAUCACAGCAUUGACAUCUUGAACAAGAUGUCUCAGACAUCUCUAACCUACUGAUGCCUCUAGGGUCGCAUGGACUAGUCUUA